rnacentral:hammerhead_ribozyme from 1 species
AUUCAUCUGAUGAGUUCCAAAUAGGACGAAACGCGCAUCCUGGAU